rnacentral:rRNA from 1 species
GACGAACGCUGGCGGCGUGCUUAACACAUGCAAGUCGAACGGAAAGGCCCUGCUUUUGUGGGGUGCUCGAGUGGCGAACGGGUGAGUAACACGUGAGUAACCUGCCCUUGACUUUGGGAUAACUUCAGGAAACUGGGGCUAAUACCGGAUAGGAGCUCCUGCUGCAUGGUGGGGGUUGGAAAGUUUCGGCGGUUGGGGAUGGACUCGCGGCUUUUCAGCUUGUUGGUGGGGUAGUGGCUUACCAAGGCUUUGACGGGUAGCCGGCCUGAGAGGGUGACCGGCCAAAUUGGGACUGAGAUACGGCCCAGACUCCUACGGGAGGCAGCAGUGGGGAAUAUUGCACGAUGGGCGGAAGCCUGAUGCAGCAACGCCGCGUGCGGGAUGACGGCCUUCGGGUUGUAAACCGCUUUCGCCUGUGACGAAGCGUGAGUGACGGUAAUGGGUAAAGAAGCACCGGCUAACUACGUG